rnacentral:rRNA from 1 species
GACGAACGCUGGCGGCGUGCUUAACGCAUGCAAGUCGAACGGAAAGGCCCUGCUUUUGUGGGGUGCUCGAGUGGCGAACGUGUGAGUAACACGUGAGUAACCUGCCCUUUACUUUGGGAUAACUUCAGGAAACUGUGGCUAAUACCGGAUAGGAGCUCCUGCUGCAUGGUGGGGGUUGGAAAGUUUCGGCGGUUGGGGAUGGACUUGCGGCUUAUCAGCUUGUUGGUGGGGUAGUGGCUUACCAAGGCCUUGACGGGUAGCCGGCCUGAGAGGGUGACCGGCCACAUUGGGACUGAGAGACGGCCCAGACUCCUACGGGAGGCAGCAGUGGGGAAUAUUGCACAAUGGGCGGAAGCCUGAUGCAGAAACGCCGCGUGCGGGAUGACGGCCUUCGGGUGGUAAACCGCUUUCGCCUGUGACGAAGCGUGAGUGACGGUAAUGGGUAAAGAAGCACCGGCUAACUACGUG